UACGUAGGGUGCGAGUGUUGUCCGGAAUUAUUGGGCGUAAAGAGCUCGUAGGCGGUUUGUCGCGUCUGCUGUGAAAACGCGAGGCUCAACCUCGCGCCUGCAGUGGGUACGGGCAGACUAGAGUGCGGUAGGGGAGAUUGGAAUUCCUGGUGUAGCGGUGGAAUGCGCAGAUAUCAGGAGGAACACCGAUGGAGCGAAGGCAGAUCUCUGGGACCGUCAACUUGGA
rnacentral:rRNA from 1 species